rnacentral:rRNA from 1 species
CACGUAGGGGACGAGCGUUGUCCGGAUUCAUUGGGCGUAAAGCGCGCGUAGGCGGCUCGGAAAGUCGGUCGUGAAAUGCCGGGGCUCAACCCCGGGACUGCGUCCGAUACUCUCGAGCUGGAGGCAGGUAGGGGAGAUCGGAAUUCCUGGUGUAGCGGUGAAAUGCGCAGAUAUCAGGAGGAACACCGAUGGCGAAGGCAGGUCUCUGGGCCACUACUGACGCUGAGGAGCGAAAGCGUGGGGAGCAAACAGG